rnacentral:lncRNA from 1 species
UGGCUCAUUUAAUUUUCAUAAAAUUUUGACAAAGUAUUUACUUUGACACUUUGAAAAAAAAUAUGGAAAUUUCAAAAAACUUGAACCAAUAAUUUUCUCAGAAAAAAAAUGGUUGGAUAUAUAGUAAUUUGACAAACCCCCAUUGAGAAGCUUAAUAUUUCCUUAACAAUAAAACAGGAUUAAAACUUUUAGUCGAUCUUACAGAGUUAUCUCCCUGUAGUGUUAGGUACCACCUAAGUCUUAUUGCUAUUAUGAGAGCAAAUGUAACUAAUCUUAACAAUUUCUUUGCAAGUCUGCCCUGAGACUUAUAGCUGCCUAUCGUCUGCUCAUGUCAGAAAUAUAAAUGUGGGUUUAAGUAUGUUACUUGAAAUAACAUAUCUUAUCCAAUUCAACAAUUAUUGUCAAAUAAUGGUAAUUGAAAAUUAUAGUUCAAAGCAAAUUUUUUCUUAUUUUUUCAAAUUCUCAAGAAAAAAAUAUUGGUGAUAAUUAUAAAUGAC